rnacentral:tRNA from 7 species
GCCCAGAUGGCGGAAUGGUAUACGCGCAACACUUAAAAUGUUGUCCCGUUUACGGGAUGAGGGUUCGACUCCCUCUCUGGGCA